rnacentral:rRNA from 1 species
GGAGCAUGCGGAUUAAUUCGAUGCAACGCGAAGAACCUUACCAAGGCUUGACAUACACUGGAAACGGCUAGAGAUAGUCGCCUCUUCGGACUGGUGUACAGGUGGUGCAUGGUUGUCGUCAGCUCGUGUCGUGAGAUGUUGGGUUAAGUCCCGCAACGAGCGCAACCCUCGUUCUAUGUUGCCAGCACGUGAUGGUGGGAACUCAUGGAAGACUGCCGGGGUCAACUCGGAGGAAGG